CAGCAUCUCUGCUGUAACGUGACAUUUUCUAAGGCUUCCAUUGGCUAUCAGAAGGCGCCAGAAAGUGGAAUGACGUGUCUCCAGUCUCUGGGCGAAAAACAGCAGGAGAUUUUGUGAGUGGUCAGGCUGAGAACAGUGACACUGGAGAUGCGCGUUCAUGUGAAUUCUCCAUGUUUUUCUUUCUCUCUUUGAAUGAAUACAACGUCGCCCGGUUGGAAUAUUAUCGCUAUUUUACAAGAAAAAUCGCAUAAAAAAUGAUUUUAAACAGCGUUUGACAUGCUUCGAAGUACGGUAAUGGAAUAUUUAGACAUUUUUUGUCACGAAAUGCACUCGGAUACUGACCUGAACGCACAAACAGAACGGAGGUAUUUGGAUAAGACUAUGGAUUAUUUCGAACCAAAACAACAUUUGUUGUUGAAGUAGAAUUCCUGGGAGUGCAUUCUGAUGAAGACAGCAAAGCUAGCUAGCGAGAAGACGUGGUAAACAAAGACGUUGACACACAUCAUUCCAAUCAAAGUUACCAGUGAAGAUACGGCAAUUUACCUGUGACCAAUGACCUUGAGCCUUCUUGGAUGGGCACUGCCAAUGUAACUCUACGGCAGCACCCAAGAGGGCCGAAGGUGCCUGACCCUAAGUGGGCUCUCCUA
rnacentral:lncRNA from 1 species